rnacentral:rRNA from 1 species
UUAAAUAGCUGCAGUAUCAAUAACUGUACAAAGGUAGCAUAACUCAAUAGCUUUUUUAAUUAAAAACUAGAAUGAAUGAUUUAAUGAAAAAAUAAUUUCAUUUAAUUAAAUACAAUUUAAUUUUUUUUUUUAAAUAAAAAAAUUUAAAUUAAUUAAAUAAACAAAACGACCCUAUAAAACUUAUAAUUUAAUUGGGGUAAUUUAAAUAUAUAAAUAAUUUUUUAUUUUAUAAUCCAUUAAUUUAUGUCCAAAUAAAGUUUUUUUAAAAAAAUAAAUUAAGUUACUUUAGGGAUAACAGUAUAA